rnacentral:rRNA from 1 species
GACAGAGGUGCCAAGCGUUAGGCGGAAUCACUGGGGCUUAAAGCGUGUGUAGGCGGAUCGUUAAGUACCUUGUGAAAUCCCCACGGCUCAACCGUGGAACUGCUGGGUAUACUGGCGAUCUUGAGCCACCUAGGGGCGAGCGGAACAAGCGGUGGAGCGGUGAAAUGCGUAGAUAUCGCUUGGAACGCCAACGGUGAAAACAGCUCGCUGGGGGUGUGCUGACGCUGGAGACACGAAAGCCAGGGGAGCGAACGGG